CUGGGAAACAUGAGCGAAAGCAGGCUCAAACUGUUAACCUCUAGGAACCCGAUCUUGGCCACAGGGAGCCUGCUACGUGUCCCAUGAAGAAAUGACAGUCCUUUGAUUUCGGGCCUUCUCCGUCAACUCCAGCAGAUACAAAGCCAAUUAAGAGGAGGCAAAACCUACAGCAACAAUCCUAGCUUCCUACUUUCCGUUUCUUCGGUUUGUUCUCUGGAGAACAGAGAAGGGCAGCUGGAGCCUCUUCUAGGACGAUCAUUUCUGCGAUCUGGGGCUUAGCGGCGUGGCGGUGGCAGUUGAAAGAGUCGACGGCGGCCUGGUGGGUCUUCAACCAUGGCCAAAAGCCACCUGGGACUACGGGAGCUGGGGGCCUCUGCUCUCACAUCAACGCGAAGGGAAAAGCGGAGGCUCCAACUCUAGCCCCAGGGGAUACUCAAAGGCCACACAUCCAUCUUUGGAUGGGACUGGAGAUGGAAAUGGACAUUAUCCUCAGAAAGACCACCCAUUCCUCGGUGCUCCCCCGGGGUUUGAGGCCCAGGCUGAUGUCCAGGAAGAAAGAGAAAAAACUUCAGACGAUCCACAUCAAUGGCUCUGGGCGAUGAAGACAAAUCGAUGGCGGGCAGGUGCACACGGCACAUUAAAUAGCUGUUUGGCUGCCACCUAUUAGCAAUGGCGAUGUAAGCACAAUUAUUGGUCAAGGACAGAUUAUUGUAAAACAGCUAACAAACAGGAAACGCUAACUUCCCUCACACAGGGCCGUGUAAAACCAAUAUUGGGUCUACGUACUGUGUACAUGUAUUUUCUAUGAAGCCAAUUAACCUCUUUAUUGGAAAACAAGAGCUUCGUUAUUGUUGAGAGAGGCAGCUAAUCCUUCACAGUAGAUAACUUUCAGUGAGCACGAGUCGAAUGAGUUGUGUUUACU